rfam:Salmo salar isolate Sally breed double haploid chromosome ssa09, whole genome shotgun sequence.
AAUAAUCACUCCUGUUACUCGCUCUGGAUAAGAGCGUCUGCUAAAUGACUAAAA